GGCACGCCUAACACAUGCAAGUCGAACGCAGUAGCAAUACUGAGUGGCAAACGGGUGAGUAUAAUGUGGGAAUCUGCCUUUUGGUUUGGAAUAACACGGGGAAACUUGUGCUAAUACCGAAUAAGCCCUUACGGGGAAAGUUUUAAUGCCGAAAGAUGAGCCUGCACUUGAUUAGCUAGUUGGUAAGGUAAAAGCUUACCAAGGCAACGAUCAAUAGCUGUUCUUAGAGGAAGACCAGCCACAUUGGGACUGAGACACGGCCCAGACUCCUACGGGAGGCAGCAGUGGGGAAUCUUGCACAAUGGGGGAAACCCUGAUGCAGCGAUGCCGCGUGAGUGAAGAAGGCCUUUGGGUUGUAAAACUCUUUCGUCGGGGAAGAAAAUGACUGUACCCGAAUAAGAAGGUCCGGCUAACUUCGUGCCAGCAGCCGCGGUAAUACGAAGGGACCUAGCGUAGUUCGGAAUUACUGGGCUUAAAGAGCUCGUAGGUGGUUAAAAAAGUUGAUGGUGAAAUCCCAAGGCUCAACCUUGGAACUGCCAUCAAAACUUUUUAGCUAGAGUGUGAUAGAGGUAAGUGGAAUUUCUAGUGUAGAGGUGAAAUUCGUAGAUAUUAGAAAGAACACCAAAUGCGAAGGCAACUUACUGGGUCACUACUGACACUGAGGAGCGAAAGCAUGGGUAGCGAAGAGGAUUAGAUACCCUCGUAGUCCAUGCCGUAAACGAUGUGUGCUAGACGUUGGAAAUAUAUUUUUCAGUGUCGCAGCGAAAGCAUUAAGCACACCGCCUGGGGAGUACGACCGCAAGGUUAAAACUCAAAUGAAUUGACGGGGAACCCGCACAA
rnacentral:rRNA from 1 species